AAAAUUAAGUUUUUUUUUUUUUAAAAAAAAUCAUCAUGUAGAAUAUUACAGACCUAUCCGUGUUCGAUAUACUUUUUUUUUUCGUUCAUUUUUUAAAUAAAUUUAGCUAUAAAUGAGAAGCAACUGUGAUCUCGAGUUCCAAUCAGCAAACCCUUUACUACUUGUGUUAGGAAUUGUCGAUAUGUUUAGUAUAUAUUGUAGGCUAGGGCUACUAUACUCUUAUGAGUAUAGAGCCUCUUAUGAGUAUAGAGCCCUUCAUACUUAUAAGUUGUUUUUAAUAAUGGAGCUUUCGAAUCGACGAUCUACUCCGUUAAAUAUGAUCUAAAGCAUUUAAAACUUUUAGAAAAUAAAUUUCGUAAUUUUUCGAAAUCAUAAUAAAGUUCAUCAAGUGGGUAUAAAAUGAACGGUCAAAAUCGAACAACAUAUUAAAAAUGGAUGUUCGGAUCCUUCAAUUUAAGAUCAGAGUUAUUAAUCUUUAUCUAUGUAGUGAAUAGAAUUAUUUCUAUAAAAAAUUCAACCGAUUUCGAUUCUUUUACACCGUUAAACUAGCAAAUAUUCCAUACCGGCAGUUAAAAAUUGUCAAUUUUGUGAUCUUUUGAUUGUAAAGUAAAUAAUGUCGAAAAAUUAUAAAAUUUGAUUUCUAGACGUUUUAAAUGCUCUAGAUAAUGUUUAACGGUGUGGAUCGUCGAUUCAGAAGCUCUAUCAUCGAAAACAACUUAUGAGUACGAAAGCGAUUGUGCUCAUAAGAGUAUAGUAGCCGGACUCUAUAUUGUAACUCAACAUUUUUUGAUUAAUUUAAGAAUGUGUGGUUGUAGGGCUUAAAAACAUGGAGUUGACUGGGCCAGUAGGCCCAUUUAUUCCAGCCCAAAUAGCAUUUAAACCCCGAAAACAAGUUGGGCUGUUCUCGAAACAUUCCGCGCUUUGUUUGCACUUGUAUUCAGCUCAGGCGAAGAUCGCACUAGUGGAUUUAAAAUUGGAUACUCUUUUUCAGUCGCUAAUCACUUGUUUUAUUUACAUUGUGAUUCUUGAUCUUCAUCACCUCACCGCUCAUGUCGACAUUUACUAUUCUUUUCCAUACAGCGAUGAACGAUUCAGAUUGAAUCUUUAAAUUUAUUUGACUAGUGCGCGUUCGCUGGUGCUUUUCUUUUCUUAUUAUUUCAGUCUAUAACUUCUAAGCAAAGUGUCUCUAUCUCAAACAACUCAUGUAUCUUAAAUUAAUAUGAAUGAUUGUUAAACUUAAACAUAAAAAUUU
rnacentral:lncRNA from 1 species